rnacentral:rRNA from 1 species
UCCAACUUGAGAGUUUGAUCCUGGCUCAGAGCGAACGCUGGCGGCAGGCCUAACACAUGCAAGUCGAGCGCCCCUCCUUCAAGCGAGCUUGGAGGAUUGAGAUCGAGCGAAGCCGAAGGGCUCGCUUGAUGGAGGGGAGCGGCAGACGGGAGAGUAAC